CAGUCGCCGCGGGAAUACGAAGGGUGCAAGCGUUACUCGGAAUUACUGGGCGUAAAGCGUGCGUAGGUGGUGGUUUAAGUCCGUUGUGAAAGCCCUGGGCUCAACCUGGGAAUUGCAGUGGAUACUGGGUCACUAGAGUGUGGUAGAGGAUAGUGGAAUUUCCGGUGUAGCAGUGAAAUGCGUAGAGAUCGGAAGGAACAUCUGUGGCGAAGGCGACUAUCUGGGCCAACACUGACACUGAGGCACGAAAGCGUGGGGAGCAAACGGGAUUAGAUACCCGGGUAGUCCCUGUCUCUUAUAC
rnacentral:rRNA from 1 species